rnacentral:rRNA from 1 species
GUGCAUUAGCUAGUUGGUAAGGUAACGGCUUACCAAGGCGACGACGCAUAGCCGAGUUGAGAGACUGAUCGGCCACAUUGGGACUGAGACACGGCCCAAACUCCUACGGGAGGCAGCAGUAGGGAAUCUUCCACAAUGGACGCAAGUCUGAUGGAGCAACGCCGCGUGAGUGAAGAAGGUUUUCGGAUCGUAAAGCUCUGUUGUUGGUGAAGAAGGAUAGAGGUAGUAACUGGCCUUUACUUGACGGUAAUCAACCAGAAAGUCACGGCUAACUACGUGCCAGCAGCCGCGGUAAUACGUAGGUGGCAAGCGUUGUCCGGAUUUAUUGGGCGUAAAGCGAGCGCAGGCGGAAAAAUAAGUCUAAUGUGAAAGCCCUCGGCUUAACCGAGGAACUGCAUCGGAAACUGUUUUUCUUGAGUGCAGAAGAGGAGAGUGGACUCCAUGUGUAGCGGUGGAAUGCGUAGAUAUAUGGAAGAACACCAGUGGCGAAGGCGGCUCUCUGGUCUGCAACUGACGCUGAGGC